GUGACGAGCGGCGGACGGGUGAGUAAUGUCUGGGAAACUGCCUGAUGAGGGGGAUAACUACUGGAAACGGUAGCUAAUACCGCAUAACGUCUUCGGACCAAAGUGGGGGACCUUCGGGCCUCAUGCCAUCAGAUGUGCCCAGAUGGGAUUAGCUAGUAGGUGGGGUAACGGCUCACCUAGGCGACGAUCCCUAGCUGGUCUGAGAGGAUGACCAGCCACACUGGAACUGAGACACGGUCCAG
rnacentral:rRNA from 1 species